AGCUAGUGUGGCACAGUGGUUUGAGUGUUGGGCUAUGACUCGGGAGACCAGAGUUUGAUUCCCAGCUUGGCUA